GUUUGAUUAAGUGGGAGAUAAAGAUGGAUAAAUAAGGUGAACACAAUUAUCCGUGCGAGGUGUGAUAAUCAAGGCAGGAUUGGUUAUCCGUGCGAGGUGUGAUAAUCAAGGCAGGAUUGGUUAUCUGUGCAAGGUGUGAUAAUCAAGGCAGGAUUGGUUAUCUGUGCGAGGUGCGAUAAUCAAGGCAGAGUCGAGGCAUAAUACAGCUUGUAGGUCACACCUGGCCCGC